rnacentral:lncRNA from 1 species
ACCAGAGGAUUAAGUUGAACGAUUUGGUCGGCUGAUCAAGCCGGCUAGUUUGAUUGGUCACCAAUCCACAUCAGUAUUGGACUAAAACCAUAAUAGAAACGGUGACCCCAGUAAUUGGGCAACCUCGUGAGACAAAUCAUUCAUCCUCUCAUGACAAGUCAUUCAUCACCCCAAACUGUUGCAUCAGGCUACAUAUCGAAUCAAAUAUUUUUCCCUUGCCUUUUCUGAUUCUCUUUCCAUACAUGGAUACGAAUUCAGCCCCUCCACGUUGUCUGCAUCCCCGAAGAUCUUGCUCUGCAUGCACCCC